UCUCCGUUGGUGAACCAGCGGAGGGAUCAUUACAGGACUCGCAAGACUCCUACAACCCUGUGAACUUAACAAUAAGCACGUUGCUUCGGCGGGUGUCUCGGAGGGGGUUCUCCCUCCCCGAGACGCUAAACCCGCCGGCAGCCUACUAUACUCUGUCUCUUUGCGUUGGCAUCUCGAGUACAAUCAAACAAGUUAAAACUUUCAACAACGGAUCUCUUGGUUCUG
rnacentral:misc_RNA from 1 species